CGACACUUGCGCGGCGUGCUGUUAUGUCCACGUAAUUCUAGUGUUUGGUUAUAGCGGAUGUUGUACAGUUUAACCCCCGUGUUGCACGGGUAUCUGUGGCACACGAUAAACAAAAGAAAAAUGUACGACGCACUAGAACGCUGUUGGUCCGCGGACUGCAUACUUUCCGCCUGUUCUUUUUUCAGUUCGAUACACUGAUACGGACAAAGCGAAACGGAAAUCAAGGUAAAGAGAAUAAUGCAUGAAAUUAGCGCGGGCAACGCCGGGCACGGGACAGCCACGAUUUAUAAAAUUAAAAAUAUUUAAUAUUGUCAAAAAAAUUAGAAUUUUAUUGUUUAACAAAUAAUAGUGUAGCUUAGCAAUAAUAAUUAUUUUUGUUUUUCUUCGUAAUUACAUUUUUAAUCUCAAAUCUCAAAUUAUAUGAUUACCCACAUAAAAAAUCUAAAUAAUAUUUAUUCACUUUUUUUAUUGAUAUUAUCAGCAGUAUUUAUAAAACUGUAUAUUAUCGUUUUUUUAAGUAUAAAUUGUACGAUCCGCAAUUAUAUAUUAAUAGUUCACUUUAAUGCCAACGAUCCAUAGUCAUCAAUAAAC